AGCGGUGAGGGUCCACCCGGCUCCAUCCCGAACCCGGCAGUUAAGCUCACCAGCGCCGAUGGUACUGCAAGGGCGACCUUGUGGGAGAGUAGGUCACUGCCAACC
rnacentral:rRNA from 1 species